CUGGCGUUUUUCUGCAGGAGCGACCUCCUGGCGGACUGCGUGGGAUGCGCGGUGAAGACGAGGUCGACGCUCUGGUUCUUGAGCGCCUCGAACACCUCCGCGGGGGUCUUGCCGAGCGACACGAGGCGCUUGAGCGUCUCCUCGAUGUCGGACUCGGUGGUGGCGGAGCCCUCGUCGGAGAAGUCCCCGUGCUUGAGCUUGCUGUUCCGGCGGCGGUGCGCCAGCUCCACUUCCUCCGCCAGGUUGGCGAGGUUGAGCAUGUGCAGGAUGGAGCUCGCCACCAGGAUGGCGUCGGCGGGGGCCAGCCCCGUCAGCUUGGCUCCCAGCUCCCCCAGCUUGGACGUGUCUUUCUUGCCCUCGUAGUCGGCCGACACCUCGUAGCACUCCUGGACCUGCAUGCAUCGCAUUUGGGUAUAUAUAUAUAUAUAGUAAGCACCGGAUUCGAGACGUAUAGACUAUAGAGAGGUGAGCUGAUGAUGCUCUCAGCUCGAUCUGCUACGUACAAAUUCGCGAAGGCUGGGGCCAUGGAGGUCCUGGAGGAUGUCGAGGAAGCGGUCGACGAGCAGGGCGUCAUACUGGAUGAGCUCCUCGGAGACCUUGCCGGGUGCGAGGGCACGGAGCUGCGCGUCGAUGGAGUGGUGCCGCUCGGACGCCAUGGCGGCGGCGGCCGGGGAGUGGGCCGGGAAGCGCGAACGAAGCUGGAGAUGGUUGGAGCGCGGCGCGGCGUGUUGCUCGUGCUGCUCCUCUGCUGCGAGUUGAUUGAUCAAUGCAGGGCGCCGGCCGGUGGCUUCAAAUAGGGAUGGGGAGUUGGCGAGUGUGUGGUCGGCGUGUGCACGCGGGAUUGGAAAGGCAUGCAUGUGAUCGGCGGUAAGGGUAGCCGAGAGCUGCGCGCGGCUGUGGCUACGCUGCUUUUGGCUGGGAUCGCUGCUGUGGACGUACUUUGUCACUGCGCACUUGCCUGCUUGUGUUAUUCCGCUGGCUAAUUGCCUGUUUGCAGGACGUGGAGAGGGGUGUCUGCUAGUGCUAGCUAGUGGUAAGGAUGGGGACGACGCUUCAAAUAACUCCUCGUGGUUCUUCUCUAGUCUAACUAAACGAACUAAAUUAAAAAAAUAAGAAAGAAAUUGUUUAUUUAGUUUAUUAAGUUAGACUAGAGAAAAACCGCGCAAGUAUCCAUUUAGAGUACCAUCUUCAUUCUUAGCUAGUGGUAACCGCAAAGGGGACCGGGAGAGCUGCGGCCGCACCUUGCUCCUGGAUCGUUUUUGGCUUGGCUUUGCUGCUGUUGACGUGCUUUGUCACUGCUCACCUGCCUUCUUGUGUUAUUCGGUUGGCUGAUGGGUUUGCAGGAUGGGGAGAGGGGUGUCUGUUUGCAGUCAAGGCCGGAUUCUGGGGAUCGGUAGAAUUUGGAGGUUUGCUUGCACGCGAUGUGGAGAGAGGUGUCUGUUAGCAACGGAGGAUGCAUGGCGCUGGAGGAAGGCUUUGCAGGGUGUGGAGGAGAGGGUGCCUGUUAUCCAGUAAUGUUAAUGUUAGGAACAUAGAUGUCCUAUAUCCAUGUAAAUUGUGGAAACAGAACUUAAUUUCCUUAGGAGACCGGGAAACAAAAAAUGAACUUGUGGUUAAGGAUAUGGACUAUAAUUUUGUGGUUCAAAGAAAGGUAUUGGUAUACAUGGCUGCCGUAGGGAUAAGGGUCAUACAUGGCUGCCGUAGGGAUAAGGGUGUUGUUACUCUACCAAGGGCACCAUACAGGUGGCUGCACAGCAUUCAGGCGCUGCCAAAUCUAGCGCGCACAUCACUGGGUCAAGCCGACACAGAUUUGGACAAUACGAUGUGUAGCAGCUGGUGGUGGUGAAGAUAUGCGGAUUUAAGAGAGAGGUGGAUUUGGGUUGGGAGGAGCAACUUGCAUCGUCGUGGAUCUCCACACAAAAAAGAAGAAUUGGAAAUGUAUAAUACUAUACAUAUGCUUAAAUGAAAGUAUUUACUGAAUUGUGGAUCGAUGCAUUAAUUGUCAUCACAAGUGAAAAUUAGGUAAUAAUGAGUACUAGUUAAUAGUUGAGCACGGAAAAAGCAUCGAAUUUUGACCUUGCAUUUAGUACCACACCACAUCUCCUAACUCCUUAUUACAUGUCCCGAUCCUCAGCUUGCUGUCAACAUGUAUUAGUCGAGUAGGUCGAGAUCUGGAUCAACCAUGGCAAUAUAGAAUUCCCAAUUUCCCAUAUAUGCAAAAAGUAGCACUGCAAAUGUCCACUUUCAAUAGCAGUAGUUGUCACGUAUGAGUGUAAGUGCAUCAAUGCUAUCAGUGAGUUUUGUUGAAAAGAUGAUGACGCAUAUAAAGAGGUAAUGAUGUUUCAUGAGAUUUUCAGUUAUACAUCGAUGUGAAAAAGUGCAAAAAGAAACAUGGGACCCCUCAAUUCUUACUUUAAAGAAAAAUGCGGCAUUGCGUUUUCAAAGAAACAUGGAAAAAGCAUCGAAUUUUGACCUUGCAUAUACUACCACACCACAUCUCCUAACGCCUUAUAUCUCUACAUCCCUAUCAACACGCAUGUGUGCAUUAGAUCGAGCAGGUGUCGAGAUCUGGAUCAGCCAUGGCAAGACAUAAUUCCCAAAUUAAUUAAUUCCCAUAUGCAAAUAUUAGCACUGCAAAAUGUUCUAUUCUAACAGUAGUUCGUUGUCACGUAUGAGCAAAGCAGCAAACUAAUCUGUCACUCCAUCAAUUAGACAUCUCAAAAACAAAAGGAUGAGAUUAAAGGAAAAGACUAUAUAUAUAUAUAUAUAUAUAUAUAUAUAUAUAUAUAUAUAUAUAUAUAUAUAUAUAUAUAUAUAUAUAUAAUUCCUUAUAUAAUAUUUUUUUAAACUCAUGAGAACAUGCAUGUUUGACUCGAGAACUUAAUUAGUAGUAGUAAUAGCAUGCGGAGCACAUAAUAUGGUCCUACGUUGCGAUCCCUUGAAGCUUGUUUCUUCGCCAACAUAAGCUAAACAAAAAUACCGGCAUGACAUUUGAAAUAAAGUUCACAUUUACUAAAAGAUGAUCUUUUGGAGCACGAAACAGUUGAAUUUUCGUGUGCAGGGGAACUGGAAAUUUAGAGCCACGCAUUUUCGACAUGGAGACAAUUUAUUAGUAGUGAAAAAUUAGAAUCUAUGAUAGUUAUAGUUAUUAUUAGGUGCUACUAUUUUAAUGAGUUCGUGAUGAUUCAAUUGAAUCUAUGGUAACACCUGUGAUGCUUUUCAACGUGGAUUACACGAUUAGUGAUUUGAUCAAUACAAUUUUAUGGUUUAGAAGAUUUUGGCCAUGAAGACUUGUGCAACAUAUAUUACAGAAAAUGAUUGUGGUUGAAACAGAAGAAAAAUUGUUGGCCAAGAAAUUUAUGAUAAUGAAGUAACUGAAUAGGAAGAAUUAUUUUGAUGGAUGAAAUAAAUUUUGGCACCAAGAAAUUGAAAAUAGACGUCAAAAACAACAUCCGUUCUUGGACAAAUGCACAGCUAUGAUUAGGGACAAAUAGAGAUCUCUAUCGGUCGAAGUAUUCGCGCGCUCCCAACUCUUGCGUCCCUUCUACGCAACCUCACGUCUCCUGCACCAUGUAUCAGUGAAAAACACACAACGACCACUUAUCGCUCCCAGCUCUUAUGUCCCUUCUACACAGCCUCACAUCUCAUACACCAUGUAUCAGAGAAAAACACACAAUGACCACUUAUCAGAGAGUAAAAAUAUGAGCGUCUAGAAGCUUCUACACUUGAGAGCUUAGACACGAACAAAACGAAGAAGCCUCUACACUUGUACUACAAGGAGUGCAAAAAUGGCCGACAAUUGUUAUACUGUUGGGCAUUUACUUGCACCGUCGGGAAGUGUAAUGCCCGAGCGUGUACCGUCGGGAACCUCACGUCGAGCAUCCAUGGUCGGGCAUUCCCCCUUUUACGGACGGGUAGUCGGUCAUUGUGUGGCCGACCGUAUGUUUCCGACGGUUAACGCUCAACAAUUAGUUUGUAAACACGCCAAAAAGACUUUGGUCGGACAUGAAUUGCCGAGGGUACCCUAGUCGGGGACUUGUUACUUGACAAUUUUUUAAAAUCCAUUGGCAAAUAUAUACAGUCUGAGUUUUGUUGAACGACGGCUUUUUAAAACCCAUCAGAAAAUAUAUCCGGUCAGGAAUGCAUUGCAUGACGGGUUUUUAAAACCCGUCGGGAAAUAUAUUCGGUCAGAGAUUUGUUGCAUGACAGUUUUUAAAACCCAUCGAAAAAUAUAAUCUGUUGGGGAUUUGUUGUACGACGGUUUUUUAACCCAUCGAGGAACAUAUUAGCAACGGUGUUUAUUAACCAUUAGGAAAUAUAAUCGGUUGGGGAUUUGUUGCAUGACGGUUAUUGAACCCCAUCGAGAAACAUAUUAGCAAUGGUGCUUGGGAUAUUUUAUAGCCAUAAAUAAUUAAUAUUUAACAAUGAAGAUCAAUUCUAGAUGUACAUUCACACUAUAACUCACGACAUUUCAUAACCAGCUCUACAAUAUUGCAUAGUACAAUGAAAGUUUGAAGCCCAAUGACAACUAAACAAAGGUACGAACAAGAGAUUCUUAAAGUUUCUAAGAACAUUCUUCAACAUAACAUAAGUUAAUGUUUAGACUAAAAUACUUGACUAAGAUGCUGCUAUUCACAAGGCAUAACAAAUACUACUUAAAAGUGCCACACACUUCAUAUGUUGUAUAGAAUCUUUUCUCAUCAAUAGGUGCCAUCAUCAUCAUAACCAUGGUUCACAUAAUAUUUGCCAUCAUCUUGGGAACGAUAGACUUCAUCUUCAUAAUCAUAGGUAUCAUCCUCACUGUCAUCACCACUAUAGUUUUCUCCACCAAUGUUAUCCUACAGAAGUUGUAAAAUUAUUUCUAUAAACAUAUGAACUAACUUGAAUACAUAUAAGAUAGAUUUUAUAAUACUUAACUUGAAUACAUAUAAGAUAGAUCUUAUAAUACUUUGGCAUGAAUAUGCAACACAAAUAAUACUUACAUGUUCAGAUGCAUUAGGAACAGUUUUCUUAUGCUCUAUAGAGAAUGCAACCUCGGAUUCAGAAGUAGGUUGCAUGUCAUUGUUGACGGUCCUUAAUGCUCACAUUUAACCGUCAACUAAUCAUGGAAAAGGACCUAUAUGCAACCAACAUCCAAAAUUAGGGUUUCAUCUGACAGAAUUUCACGAGUUUUGGUGUUUGUCUAUUUCUGCAGGGGGUUAUGAGGAAAUAUGGAGGAAAGGUCCACACAUCGGGUUUACAUAGAGAUAUUAACGUGCACCGUAAUUAUCCAACAUCUAGAAGAGUCGAGAAGCCACGGGAACGAGCGGAUGGCCGAGCGGGCCCGGGGGCUGGGCGCCCGACCUCCCUCAUAGGGCGCCGCCCUGCUACAGGAGCCAAUCAGGCUCCGCCUCGCGGAUUAUGCUCCACCGACCGAACGAAUUAAGGAAAACCGUGCGAUUAAGGUCGGUUUGAUCCGACGGGCCAUGUUCAUUUGGAAGGGCUAUAUAAGCAGGCCCCCUGGCCCCUGGAGAGGAUAUUUCUUCUACACAAUCAAAGCUAGGGUUUCAAUUAUUCAUCCAAGUAGAGAGGAUCCCUCUAGUUCAUCUAGUUCUAGUUCUAGUUCAUCUAGUUCUAGUUCUAGUUAGUUCUAGUUGUAAUCUAGAAAAUAGGGAGAGAGAAGAGGAGAGCGGAGGAGGAGCCGGAUCUGUCGGAUCUUCCUCAACAUUAUACUUUUGCAGCAAUUGGUUUGUUCUUCAUCGUUGUCCAAGUUCUUCAAUUCAUAAUUCCUGAGUUCUUUAAUUACUUUUAUUUACAUUCAAGUUAUUUAUUGGAUUUCUGCUAACAUCAAGUGCUCUAGUCUUUGCAAUGCUAGAGUAGUAAUUAAUAGAUUAGACGUGGUGUUUAGUCUUGCAAUUACCUAGAAUUACACCCAAUCCUGUGGAUUAUUGUGGUAGCUCUAGGGUAGUGACAGACCUAACGGUCGACGUAUUCCACCUCGUUCGGAUCGGUGUUUGUAGGACCAUAGUCAGAGCUUCCUAGCCCCCUUCUCAUCUCUUUCUGUGGUUAGUGUUCUGAUGUCCCGAAAUAAAUAAUCUUUGAAGUAAUUCUUUAUUCUUAGAUCAACUAGAGAACUCUCAGGAAACUUCCUCUCUUCCCACCAAAAAUAAUUAUAUAGUUAUCCUUGGGCGAUCUUGAAUCUUAAUUAGUACACUCAUGUUCCCUGUAGAAAAUCGAUACUCUAGAAUACUCCUGGAUGAAAGCUACAUCGGUAUCCGUGCGCUUGCGGAUUUUUUCUGUUUGCGUUUAAAAUACCCAACAAGCUUUCUGGCGCCAUUGCCGGGGAACGGUAGUUGUGCUAGUUUCGAACCAAGUCGUACGUGUAUCCUUUUUCUUUUCCUUUUUUUUACCACACUCACCUUACCAUUUUCACCAUACCACAUGGAUUUCACUCCUAUCUAUAAAUUAUUUGCUCCAAAGGGCGAGUUAUUAGAGCCACCACCAUCAUCACAUCCAAUUCUUACAGAUGGCUACGACCUCGGCCCUGAUCUAAUAGCCAUGAUUCAGGAGCAACCCUUCUCUGGGCAAGUAGAUGAAGAUCCAUACACCCACCUUAGAGAAUUCGAGCAGUUGUGCUCUUGCCGAUCUAUUUCCGGCAUGACACAAGAAACCCUUAAAUGGAAAUUAUUUCCAUUCUCCCUUUUGGGAAGAGCAAAAAAGUGGUAUGCUCAUUCUGUAGGAGGCGUUAAUGGAAAUUGGGAUGAACUUCAGGACAACUGUUGUCUCGCUUUCUUCCCACUUUUUCGAAUCGCUGACCUUAGAAUCAAAAUUCUUACAUUCAAACAAAGAGAGAAGGAAACUUUAGGAGCAGCUUGAGCUAGGUUCACAAGCCUUACCAAUUUCAGUCCAAACCUUUUCAUGCCUGACCAUGUACUAUACUACCACUUUUAUCGUGGUCUAAACAAGGAAGCUGCUCUUCACCUCGACAUUGCUUCAUGAGGCUCAUUCGCACACAAACUCAUAGAUGAGGGGAGAGCUAUCCUAGAGAGAAUCCUUGAAAAUAUCCCUUACACAGCCAUUUAUGAUGAGUUUCCUAAAGAAGAAAAAGAAGUCGAGCCUGAUCCUAAACCAAAAGAUGAGGAACUUGCAACCGAGUUAGAAAUUCCACCUGACCCAUCUAUUAAUUUGGUUGUAGAGAAACCUCCUGAUAAGGGAAUGCAAAACCAACUAAGGGAUAAUGAACCACCACCUUUAGAGCAUUCCUUUGAAUUCGAGGAAGAUCUUUUUGAAGAUUAUGGAAACGCCUCGAAUUUUCUUAUCCAAACACGACCUCUAGCAGGGACCACUCAAUCCGUUCUAAGAGUAGAAUCUGUUGACAUAGAACACAUCAAAUGCCUUUCGGCUAUUCUGAGUUAUGAAUGGCUAACAGAAGCAGAGCUGUCUCCUGAGGUAGCUCAGAUCAUCACUCCUUCAACCAUUCUUCUGUGCAAAAUUAGAGGGUCCGCUAGGAAGGUCCACUACAAUCCACAUGUUGGGAUAAAUGUUAUUUCCAAGGAGUUAGCUCACACUCUUUAUCCCAAUGAGUCCAUAACCCCAUCUCAAAAACUUUUACAAAGUCCAUCUGGAUUAAUUCUAGAAAGCCAUGGGGGUAUUAAGGGCAGUUCCUGUUAGAAUCAAGGACUCUGGAAUAUGUCUAGAUUUUCACAUUUUUGACAUACCGGAGAUUCCUCUCUUGAUUGGCAGACCAAUCAUGAAACUUCUACAAGAACAACCACAACGAGGUCAUUUAGACUUCAAUGUUGGGAAUUCCACUAUUGUUGUUCCUCUUGCUAGAUCAAUUAACACGAUAGUGGAACCCAAACUUAAACUAGAUCCUAUUGAGGAGAUCUUAAUGCUGACUCAAGAGGAGAUGGCCCAACCAUUCUUUAAUCAUGAACACUUUGUUCAAGAAGAAGAAGAGUUGGUAUAACCUGUUGAGCUAGACAAAAAUGAACAACCUUCACCUCCUUCGAUAGAGUUAAAACCUCUUCCUUCUGGCCUUAGAUAUGUCUUUUUGCACAACAACCCAAAAACUCCAGUAAUUAUCAGUGACAAGCUUUUCGAUUAUGAAACACAACAACUUGUCACUGUUCUUGAAAGGCAUAGAUCAGCAUUUGGCUACUCUCUUGAAGAUCUCACGGGCAUUAGUCCCAUUCUCUGCACUCAUCGUAUCCCUAUUGAUCCCAAUUUUACACCUUCAAGGGAACCACAACGGAGACUUAACAAUGCUAUGCGAGAGGUUGUUAAGAAAGAGGUCCUCAAACUCUAUCAUGCUGGGAUUAUUUAUCCUGUGCCACAUAGUGAGUGGGUUAGCCUUGUCCAAGUAGUGCCAAAGAAAGGAGGAAUGAGAGUCGUUAGGAAUGAGAAGAAUGAACUCAUCCCUCAACAAAUUGUCACUGGGUGGCGUAUGUGUAUUGACUAUCGAAAACUCAACAAGGCUACAAAGAAAGAUCACUUUCCGUUACCCUUCAUUGAUGAAAUAUUGGAACGGCUUGCAAACCACUCUUUAUUUUGUUUCCUUGAUGGUUAUUCUGGAUAUCACCAAAUCCCAAUCCACCCAGAUGACCAAGAAAAGACUACCUUUACAUGCCCGUAUGGAACUUAUGCAUACCGACGAAUGUCGUUCAGAUUGUGCAAUGCUCCAGCUUCUUUCCAACGGUGCAUGAUGUCUAUUUUCUCGGACAUGAUUGAGAAGAUCAUGGAGGUUUUCAUGGAUGAUUUUAUCGUAUAUGGCAAAACCUUCGAUCAUUGUUUGGAGAAUUUAGAUAAAGUCUUGCAGCGAUGUGAAGAAAAGCACUUAAUCCUGAACUGGGAGAAAUGCCAUUUUAUGGUUCAGGAAGGAAUAGUGCUAGGACAUAAAGUGUCCGAACGUGGUAUAGAGGUGGACAAAGCAAAGAUUGAAGUUAUUGAAAAACUUCCACCUCCCACGAAUGUGAAAGGAAUCCGUAGCUUUUUGGGACAUGCAGGGUUCUAUAGACACUUUAUCAAGAACUUCUCUCAAAUUGCUAGACCCCUAACUAGUCUCCUAGCUAAGGAUGCACCUUUCAUCUUUAGUGAUGAGUGUCAUGAAUCUUUUCAAACUCAUAAGAAAGCACUCAUCUCAGCCCCGAUUAUCCAACCACCUGAUUGGAAUCUUCCUUUUGAGAUCAUGUGUGAUGCUAGCGAUUUUGAGGUUGGUGCCGUUUUAGGACAAACCAAGGAUAAAAAGCAUUAUGCCAUAUCCUACGCUAGCAAAAUCUUGUCUGGACCACAGCUCAAUUACACUACAACUGAAAAAGAGAUUUUGGCUAUUGUCUUUGCUAUUGACAAGUUUAGAUCUUACUUAGUGGGGCAAAGAUAAUCAUCUAUUCAGACCAUGCUGCUCUCAAGUACCUCCUCACUAAGAAAGAUGCUAAGCCUCGUCUAAUUCAAUGGAUUCUUCUACUCCAAGACUUUGACAUAGAAAUCCAAGAUAGGAAGGGAGUAGAGAAUUCCGUAGCCGACCACUUGUCUAGGCUUCAAUAUAAGGAAACACAUGAUGAGCUUCCCAUAAAUGACUACCUAAGGGAUGACACCCUGCUUAAGAUAACACAUGUAAAUCCAUGGUACGCAGACAUCGUAAACUUUAUAGUAAAAGGCUAUGUCCCACCUGGUACAAACAAAAGGAAGUUGCUUCACGAUUGUCGUUUCCACCAUUGGGAUGAGCCAUAUUUUUUCCGAGUCUGCACUGAUGGACUCUUGAGAAGGUGUGUUCCUAUGGCUGAGGCUACCCAAAUUAUGGAAAGAUGCCACGCCUCGCCAUAUGGAGGACACUAUGGAGCAUUCCGGACACAUGCUAAAAUUUGGCAAAGUGGCUUUUUCUGGCCAACGAUGUAUGAAGAUACAAAGGACUUUGUCAGGAGAUGCCACCGAUGUCAAAAACAUGGGAAUAUCAACUCACGAAAUGAAAUGCCUCUCACAAAUAAUCUUCAAGUAGAACUUUCCGAUGUAUGGGGCAUUGAUUUCAUGGGGCCAUUCCCUAUGUCCGGGAAUUGCGAGUAUAUCUUAGUAGCUGUGGACUACGUGUCCAAAUGGGUAGAAGCCUGUUGACACUUGCUAACACCACUUGAAUACUAGGUUGUCAUCCCCAGCAUAGCACUAGAGUGUACUAUGGUAUUUAUACGCACACAGAUAAUCCGCAAGCGCACGGAUACCGUUGAAGCUUUUACCCGGUUAAAGGUUUUAUCGUAUCCACAGGGAAACGGGAGAACCAACUACGCUCUAACUUAACCAAAAUAGGAAAGAUGGUAGAAUCGAAUAAGAACAAUAUUAAAGGUAAGAUAACAGUGAGUGAUAAUAUGGGAAUAGAGAAUAGAGCAAUUCUAGUAUAUGGGCGAUGGUAGCAGAAUAGAGAGAAUAACUAUGGUUUCUCUACUUCAAAGGGGUAUGUCUAUGUCUGGGACGAACCACGUGAUAAGAUUACACCAGAAAGGAUGCUUAUCCAUAGGCCGAUAAACACUACCCAUCCUGCUAACGAGAGGUGGACUACAGAGGACCAACGUAACUGUCACCUACGCGGCCUACCACAUGAUCCACCUAGACAGGGGAUAUCCACAAGUAAUCUAGGUCUAAGCACCACGCUUACACCUAUACUACAACUCUAACCUAUAGCGUCCUAUAUAGAUUAGAAGUACUCAAAAGAGUUGUGAACCAGAACAUACAUGAUUAGUAAUUGCAUAAUGAAUUAGAAGUAGAUUACUAGAGUCAUCCCUUGAGCAAGCUUGAUUAGAGCUUGAUCAUG
rnacentral:lncRNA from 1 species